AGGGUUUGAUUAUGGCUCAGGACGAACGCUGGCGGCGUGCCUAACACAUGCAAGUCGAGCGGGGAUUAUCGAAUGAAGUUUUCGGAUGGAAUUUGGUAAUUCUAGCGGCGGACGGGUGAGUAACGCGUGAGCAACCUGCCUUUCACAGGGGGAUAACGCAUCGAAAGGUGCACUAAUACCGCAUGAGACCACGCUCCCGACAUGAGAGAGGGGUCAAAGGAGCAAUCCGGUGAGAGAUGGGCUCGCGUCUGAUUAGCUGGUUGGUGAGGUAACGGCCCACCAAGGCGACGAUCAGUAGCCGACCUGAGAGGGUGAUCGGCCACAUUGGAACUGAGAGACGGUCCAA
rnacentral:rRNA from 1 species